rnacentral:lncRNA from 1 species
GGCUUGCAGCAUAUUUCAACGUGUCAAAUUCACUUUGCGCUCUGCCUCUUUAUGUUGUGAAAAUUUGAAAUUACUGUUGAUGUGAAGGUUGUUCAAAAGGCUCUUUUUUUAUCCCUAGCUGAGAAAAAAAAAAAUCAGAACAGAUUCAUCUGGUAUUCUCUAAGUAUGUCAUUUCUUAAUCUCACACAAAGAAAAUGAUAACCAUUGAGGAAAGGAAAUUUCGUGGAGUAGAGGAAACUCGAGAGGGGACAACGUUAGUGUAUGACAGUCAAACGACACAAAAGUACAAAUUAUUUAAAGGCAGCGACCAGCCUUAAGAAGAAAUGGAGGAGGAAGGCAAGUGUCUGAUGUGACUGGGGGAAUUUUAGAAAAGAUGCUUUACUGAUAGGAUAACUGUGUCAGGACCACCAGAGUGUGCGGCUUAAGACUCUCUCUCUCCUGUGCUUGGCAAGCAUUUGAUUGUUCUCUCAUUAUUUCAAUAGUAUAUAUCAAAUCCCCACUCACCCUACCUUGGCCUAGGUGCUGGGAUCAAUGAUAAAUAAAGCCCAGACCCCAUCCGAAGAGUUCAGAAUCCAGCUGGGGAAGACAUGCAAUAAGAAACAAUUAUAGUUUUCUGUGCCAAGUGCACCAUAGAGAGAAAUACUGGGAGAAUAGGAAUUCUCGGUAAGAAGUGAUAACUCUGUGGAUAAAUGUAAGUUGAAUAUUAAAUAAAUACCCAUUUCAAAGUAUUUUUUCCCUUCAUAUCUGAACACUAUGAUUGAUCAUGUGGUGAGAGCAUGUGUGUUAUGGGGCAAGGUGCCCUAGACCCCAAAUUGGUUCCAGUUCUGGCUCUGACCCCACCCCGCCCACCCCCGCCCCAGAGACCUCUGGCAAGUCCUGUGAGGCCUCUGAGCCUCGGUGGCCUCCUUUGAAAAGUCAGGGCAUUUGUCCUGAUGAUCUAUAAGCUACUGAAGGAGCUUGACGCCUAAGAAGCUUCAUUUAAAAUGCAAAUGUUAUCCUCAAAGAGUGAUGCAUGAAGCCAGUUGGGACUUCAUUGUGCAUUAGUUAAUUAAAUUUGCUAGCCAGUCACCUUGCAGAGCCCUGAGAGAAAGGGACGCAGGUAGGGUUCAUCUCAAAAAAGGGAGAAAGGGCCCUAGAUUUGGGUGGGUAGGAGAAGAGGAGAGCUGGGCAAAUAGAGGCAGCGAAAGGCAGGCAGGCUGAGGAGGAUGUACGGGUGAGAAAGGAGAAUCACAGACGUUUUUAACAUGUUACAGGAAAGUGGUUUUCAACUUUGUUUCCAGAAUAGAGCGUUAGGACAUACGUAUGUGAUCAGGCCAUAGUAGCUCCAGACUGUGUGGGAAGGGCUUGGGGCACCUGCUGGCUGAAGAAGGUUGUUCUGGGACCAGUCUUCAGGGCACAGUGGCGCUACAUUUGCACAACCACUCUGAACUGGGCUGUGGGUUUAUUAAGGAUAAGAGACGUGCUGGAGGAAUGAGCGUUAGAUUAUAAGGGAGACUUUAGGACCUAGCCAAGUGACCUCUUAACCCUAAGACUGACCAAAGAAGAAGAAGAGGGAAACUGGAAAUCCUCUUACUUUCCCUUGGAAAGCUCCCUCCACACCACCACUCCCCUUAAAUGGUCCCUUCAUGUCUCUGCUCUACCUGGGAAGACAAGAUCCUGACAGCUGGAGAGAACUGACUUCUCCGCUUUCCUUACAUAUAAGAGCCCUCCGUCCAGGGGUUUUAGACCAGCAUCCCUAGCAAAAUGCAAAUGUGAAUUCAGGCUGCACGCUGCCCUCAUCACCUACUUUCCUACCUCUGGGCUUGGUGAAUACCCUAGUUCAAAAUGUCUCUUCUUAUCAUAGUUUCUCCCAAGAAUGGACAGGCUUAGAGUGAUAUAACCUCAUUGGUUUAUUAUUCUCCCUGACCAAAACCAGCUCACUUUUCAGGGGUUUACACGGGGCCACACCCACCAUGGCUAAAGCGAGGUGACAGAGAGCCAGUGGUCGGCAGAAAGGAGGUCCGUAAGAGCCAGGCUCGAGCAGAGCAGAGCAAUGCUGAGUUCUGACCCAUCCAUGGAUCCAGUGUCAGGCAGCUACACACAUUUGCAAGAGUGGAAAAAGAGUGGGAGGGGGCACAGUCUUAAGGCAUUAGCCUGCUGUGGCCCCCUUUGCCUGGCAAAGCAAUAAAGCUACCUUUGUCCUCCUUAACACCCCCCCCAAAAAGAGUAGGGAAACAGUGUCAUAUUUUACACAAUAUGUUGUUUUUGAUAGGUCAGAUUUGAUCUGUCCUGAGCAAAUAUCUUGAGAACAAGCAGUUAAACGUAUUCAAAAGGUGAGAAGCCAGCACAUACUCAAGGCAUGUUAAAUAGUGGUAGAAAAGGACAAUAAAAGAUUGAAGGAGGAGUUCCUGCUCUGGUGUAGUAGAUUAAGAAUCCUCCUGUUGCGGAGGCAUGGGUUCAAUCCUUAGCCCAGCACAGUGGGUUAAGGAUCUAGCAUUGCUAUAGGUCACAGAUGAGGCUCGGAUUCAACCCCUGGCCCAGGAACUUCCAUAGACCAUGAGUGGGCCAAAACUAAAAAACAAAAACAAAACAAAAAAACUACACGCAGGAGUUCCCAUCGUGGCUCAGCAGUUAACCAAUCUGACUAGGAACCAUGAGGUGGCGGGUUCGAUCCCUGGCCUUGCUCAGUGGGUUAAGGAUCUGGCGUUGCCGUGAGCUGUGGUGUAGGUUGCAGAAGCGGCUCAGAUCUGACACUGAUGUGGCUCUGGUGUAGGCCGGCGGCUGCAGCUCUGAUUAGACCCCUAGCCUGGGAACCUCCAUAUGCUGUGGGUGCAGCCCUGGAAAAAGACAAAACAAAACAAAACAAAACAAAAACACUACACUCACAUCUCAUCUAUUUUACACAAAAUACUUCUGUGACUGAAGUAGGCAUGUGUUAGCCUGUGAUCAAACUCUCUGAUCUCUCACAUCUGGAGGGUCCCUGCGUGUGUUUGAUCUUUGUGGGUUCAAGGGCCUGGCAGGAAACUGUAGAGAAAGACUACUUCUCUGUGAUGGGGCCAACCCUAAUGCCUAUAACCCUGGUUCCUCCCCACCUCCCCCAGACCUUAUUUAGUCAAUUGGCCCUAGAGUCCUAUUCUAAAUCCUUAGCCAAUCUCUUCUCUACUCUUUCCUCCCUCUUACAAUGCUUAAAUCUCUGACUUCUAAAUAGAAACUCUGAAUUCCCCCACUAAUUGCCAUUUCAUCUCUCACCUCUUCAUGUGCAAAUUCUUUAAAAGAGUAUACUAUUUUUGCUCCUUUCCAUUAACUCUUCACCUCACUACAGUUUUGCAUAAAGCAACAGAAACUGACAUAGGCUGCCCAAAAUUGGUUGUUCAAAAUACUGAAUAGUAUCCAUUCUCACCUUCUCAGAGACUAGAAAGUUAAAACCUACAUCUCCCAGACUCUCUUGCAGCUAGGUUCUGUAUGCAAAUUAGGUUCUGCCACGGGUAACACAGUCCCAAAAGUUUUGAAAGACAAAUAUGGAUCAAAGGCAAUCUUCCUGUUGUUUUUUUCUGCUAACAAGCAAGCUCAUGAAACGAAAACUUGAGUGUCAAAAAGCAGGUGAGAGGCAAUGAUGACUAGACUCAGUGUCUGGUUACCACCUUUAUGGGUGUCAAGAAAGUUUCAACAGUGACAGAGAAAUUGGCUUCCUAAUGCCAAAUACCUGAUCUCUGAACAUCCUCUAUGAUGACCAGCACUGAACUUUAUAGUUCCAGUGGGGGUCUCCUGAUUCAUGCUACUCUACCAUCUCUGAUCAUUUAAAAAACAUCCAAUUUCCUAUAUAAAAAAAUACCUAGGAUAUUUUCUUUUUUCUUUUCUUUUCUUUUUCUUUUUUUUUUUUUUUUGGUCUUUUUAGGGCUGCACCCUUGGCAUAUGGAAGUUCCCAGGCUAGGGGUCAAAUUGGAGAUGUAGCUGCUGACCUACACCACAGCUACAGCAACAUCAGAUCAGAGCCGUGUCUAUGACCUACACCACAGCUCAUGGCAACGCCAGAUCCUUAACCCACUGAGCGAGGUCAGGGAUCGAACCCAUUUCCUGUGGAUACUAGUCGGGUUCAUUAACCACUGAGCCAUGAUGGAAACUCCAUUUUCCUAUCUUCUAAAUUGUGAGUCCUAAUGUAGUUUGUGAAACUCUAAGUGGUUAUGGACAACAGGUUCUCAACAGCAGGCAUUUGGGAGUGGUUAUUUGAUUUGGUUGGAUCUGAAGGUAGAGAUGAUUCAGUUCCCUGAGAAAAGGGAACUGGAAGUCCAUGAGAGUUGCAAAAAAGGGUUACUUAAAUUAUCACAUUUUUGGACUUAUUGAAGGCAAGACUUCCAGUGGUAGAAAUGGGGCAGACAAGGACGAUGGGUCAAGCUGGACACUUCUGAGGCCCUAGAGAGUUUAAUGAAAGGUACUAUGUGCUCAGGCCUUACAUGUCUUUGAAUUCUACCAUCUAGGCAAAAUUAGAAGACUAGAUAUUGACUACAACUACCAUGAAACAGUAUCUAAUCUCUUAAAGCCAGUGGACUGACCUGUCCAAAUAAGAUGCCAAGGCUUGAGCAUAUGAGUUUUGGAAUGAAAUUGAAUUAAUAGCCUCACCAAAUCUUUUGUGGUCAAGAUAGACUUUGAUUAAGAAAGAAUGAAAUCAGAGUUUCCAUUGUGGCUCAGCAGAAACAAAUCUGACUCAUAUCCAUGAGGACGUAGGUUCAAUCCCUGACCUCGCUCAGUGGGUUAAGGAUCCAUUGUUGCUGUGAGCUGUGGUGUAGGCUGCAGAUGUGGCUCGGAUCUGGCAUUGCUGUGGCUGUGGAGUAUGUCAGCAGCUGUAGCUCCGAUUGGGCCUCUAGCCUGGGAACCUCCAUAUGCCACAGGUGCAGCCCUUAAAAAAAAAAAAAAAGACAGAGAGAGACAAAAAAAAAAA